rnacentral:rRNA from 1 species
UGAAUUGACGGGGGCCCGCACAAGCGGUGGAGCAUGUGGUUUAAUUCGAUGCAACGCGAAGAACCUUACCUGGUCUUGACAUCCACGGAAGUUUUCAGAGAUGAGAAUGUGCCUUCGGGAACCGUGAGACAGGUGCUGCAUGGCUGUCGUCAGCUCGUGUUGUGAAAUGUUGGGUUAAGUCCCGCAACGAGCGCAACCCUUAUCCUUUG